rfam:Pleurocapsa sp. PCC 7327, complete genome.
GGGGCCGCAACGGUUUCGACAGGUUGGCGAAAGCUAGCCCGUGAUGCAGGUCGAGAGUGAGUCGUCUCUCGUAAAUCCAAGGCUCAACAAAAAAGUAACUGCGAACAACAUCGUAAGCUUCAAGCGCGUAGCAGUAGCUGCCUAAGAGUCUGUAAUCGACUGCGCUACUCUUAGUUCGACUCCGUUAAGAACUAAGGGUCAACCCCAACGGAUGCACUCUCUAGCCGCCUCUGGUCGGCUGUAGAGUUAAGAUAAUACCAGAGCAUCCCACCAUCCGGGAUAAGAGAUGGUUCCCGCCUUGAGGAUAAGAAAGGCUAAACCUGUGAAAGAGCGGAAAGUCAAUACCCAGCCUGGACAGCAGUUCAACUCUGCUCGGCUCCAUUU